UUUCUUUCCCACGAUUGUUAACCAUGAUUCUCUCUCCCACGAUUCAUUAAAAUUGAAAAUUUCCAAUAUUUGAAAUUAUUUUCAUCAAUUACUUUUCUGGAAAUUUACAGUAUUUGAAACUCUUUUGAUCAACCACUUCUUGCCGGAGAAAACGCACGCACACACGGUACCCUUUCCCCCAUCUCUGCCUCACGCCGCCAGCCACCGCUCGGCAUCGCCAUGCCGAUGGACAGCACCCGCAGCAGCCCACGCGUCUCCUCUCUCGGCUUCUCCUUUCUAUCUCUCUCCUCGCCGCUGUCGUCUUCGUCCUCGCCGGUGGAAACUGUCAGAGCUCUUUCAACAAUAAGAAUUUCUUCAAUUUCCCCUCGAAAGAACAUCAUAGGUUGGGAAAUUUCCCCAACCAUGUCGAUGAAGCCCUCAUAGAUUUUCUCCGCAGCAGCAAUCCCUCAAAAGCGACAGAAGCAAAACAACGUGCAAUCGAGUCACACGAUAAAUGAAUCGCAGAAAUCCUCUCCUUGAUUUUGCUAUCCGAUAAAAUCGCGGCGGCGGCGAAGGAGGCCAAACUACUCUAGCUCGAGUACUCUUACGCAUCAAUCCUAUACAAAUUCAGAAACUGUAGAAAUCUAACAUAGAACACAACGAUGGAGCUUCACUACAUAUCUUCGUCUCUGAAUCGAUUCAGAGCUUCGGCUAAUUCCUACUUGUCUGAAUUCGAGCCUCUCGCGUUGCUUCUCAUACCUCUGUCGACGUUUUUCUUCGCCAGAUUAAUUAAUCGAUUCUUGUCGUGGUUUUCGAGGAAGGCCUCAAAUCUACGAUAGUGGAGUUGGUCAUGGCUUAUGUCAAGUUGGUGCCUGGUGUGCAGGGUUAUAUCUUAUAUCUAUGCUGAAAAGCACUCUGCCGUUCGAUUCGAUUCCACACAUGCGAAAAAAAAACUGCGGGAAGGUGAGCAAAAGACACUAAUCAGGUUGCAUAGAUGUCACUGAAAUUUAGGAUUUUGUUCAACUGGGGUUGCCUAUUUUCUGGAAUGAAAGUAGGUGUUAGAUGUGUAUACUCUGGUUGCCUAAAUGUUCCUGAUAUGAAAAUUUUGGUUGCCUAGAUGCUGCCUGCUUUGAAAUUAGUAUUGUAAAAAAGUUUGUUUGCUUAAUAUGAAGAUGUAUAUGUCGCCUAGAUGCUCUAUCUCAAUGUGUAAAUGAGCAUGGGAUGAUGCAUAUAGUUGAGAGCCGAGUUCUGUAAUAUGAAAAUUUGAGUAGUGUGUUGAAUUGGCUAACAUUGUGGGAUGGUAUUCUAGCGAAAGAGCAUGUGGAUUUGAUUUCCACCAGCGAUGGCCUAGCUCAACUACCCUUAGCUAUCGCAAAAAAACUGUGGGAAGAAGAAGGAAGUUAGCUUCGUGAUCGAUUAAUCGAAGUCGGUGGAGGAUAAGAUCAUGGAGAUCGCUUCGCUAGAGAAGUUUUUGCAUGAGAGAAUUAGAUCGACGGCAAAGCUGUGCUCUUGGUGAUUUCGUUACCGUUAGCUGUGACAAGAACAAGAUCACCAUCAUCGCCAGUUCCACUUUCUCCAAAAGGUAUUUGAGGUGUUUGACAAAGAAAUACUUAAAGAGGCAUAAUGUGCGGGAUUGGCUUCUUGUGAUUUCUUCCAAGUUCCAACAAUGAAAGAAACGUGUAUGAAUUGCACUAUUUCAACACUGCAGAGCAAGAGCCGAGGAUGAAGAUUAAAUAUAGAGAGAUUAAUUUCAUGUUCCUUUUAUGCUCUGCCAACUUUGUGGAUCAAUUUGUAUUGUUUGUUCUAUUUAUCUAAGACUUUUGAGGCUGCUUAUGAGAUUGAAUUUUGAUGUGGUCAUUUGCUUUUUAUUUUAAGUUGUUACAAAUUGUAGCAAUAAUCGAGGCAAAUUGUGUGCUUAUUUUGUUGGCUCUUUGCUAAAUUAUGCUAAAGUUAACUGAUUUUUGACUUUGUUAAAGAAAGACUCCUAGAUCAUA